GGGGCUAUAGCUCAGCUGGGAGAGCGCCUGCUUUGCACGCAGGAGGUCUGCGGUUCGAUCUCGCAUAGCUCCA
rnacentral:tRNA from 1 species